CUGGUGGAGAUUGUCCCAGGGGUGAGUAAGGUCUUGCAACGGGCCCAGUAGCGGGGGAUAACUACGCGAAAGCGUAUCUAAUACCGCAUACGCCCUACGGGGGAAAGCAGGGGAUCGCAAGACCUUGCACUAUUGGAGCGGCCGAUAUCGGAUUAGCUAGUUGGUGGGGUAACGGCUCACCAAGGCAACGAUCCGUAGCUGGUUUGAGAGGACGACCAGCCACACUGGGACUGAGACACGGCCCAGACUCCUACGGGAGGCAGCAGUGGGGAAUUUUGGACAAUGGGGGAAACCCUGAUCCAGCCAUCCCGCGUGUGCGAUGAAGGCCUUCGGGUUGUAAAGCACUUUUGGCAGGAAAGAAACGUCGCGGGUUAAUACCCCGCGGAACUGACGGUACCUGCAGAAUAAGCACCGGCUAACUACGUGCCAGCAGCCGCGGUAAUACGUAGGGUGCAAGCGUUAAUCGGAAUUACUGGGCGUAAAGCGUGCGCAGGCGGUUCGGAAAGAAAGAUGUGAAAUCCCAGAGCUUAACUUUGGAACUGCAUUUUUAACUACCGGGCUAGAGUGUGUCAGAGGGAGGUGGGAAUUCCGCGUGUAGCAGUGAAAUGCGUAGAUAUGCGGGAGGAACACCGAUGGCGAAGGCAGCCUCCUGGGAUAACACUGACGCUCAUGCACGAAAGCGUGGGGGAGCAAACAGGAUUAGAUACCCUGGUAGUCACGCCCCUAAACGAUGUCAACUAGCUGUUGGGGUCUUCGGACCUUGGUAGCGCAGCUA
rnacentral:rRNA from 1 species